UACGUAGGGUGCGAGCGUUGUUCGGAAUUACUGGGCGUAAAGGGCGCGUAGGCGGUUCCAUGCGUCCCACGUGAAAGCCCCUGGCUCAACCAGGGAGGGUCGUGGGAAACGGGGGAACUGGAGGCAGAGAGAGGCUGGUGGAAUUCCCGGAGUAGUGGUGAAAUGCGUAGAUAUCGGGAGGAACACCGGUGGCGAAGGCGGCCAGCUGGCUCUGACCUGACGCUGAGGCGCGAAGGCGUGGGGAGCGAACGGG
rnacentral:rRNA from 1 species